AAUAGCCUAACGGCUGAACCAGCAACUUGGAAGAAUGUAGGCGCAAGCCGCUGUAAUGUAUAAAGUAUCAGCAUUGCAGAGUAGUAACUAUGUUACAUAAAGUUCUAGGUAAGUUUAUGAUUAUGACAUAAUUUAUCUAUAAGUCUUGGCCAAGUCACGUGCCAGCAGUCGCGGUAAUACGUGGAAGACGAGUGUUAUUCAUCUUUAAUAGGUUUAAAGGGUACUUAGACGGUUAAUUAAGCCUAGACAGGGACUAAUUAUACUAGAGUUUUAUAGAAGGAGAUCAGAACGGUGUGUGUAGAGAUGAAAUAUAUUAAUACUGCUUGGAAACUGACAACGGCGAAAGCAGCCUCUUAUGUAAAAACUGACGUUAAAGGACGAAGGCCUUAAGAAAAGAACAGGAUUAGAUACCCCAGUAUUGUGGGCAGACAAUGAUGAGUGUCAUAGGCAAGUAUAUUAUUUGCGUAUAAAUGAAAGUGUAAGCACUCCACCUCAAGAGUAACAUGGCAACAUAGGAACUGAAAUCAUUAGACCGUUUCUGAAACCAGUAGUGAAGUAUGUUGUUUAAUUUGAUGAUCCGCAAAAAACCUUACCACAAUUUGAAUGCCAAGGUAUAAUGUUACAGUAAUUGUAACAUUACCUUCUACACAGGAGUUGCACGGCUGUCUUCAGUUGAUAUCGUGAGAUUUUGGUUAGCUCCAUUUAAUCAACGUAAACCCUUACUUUAUUUUUUAUAUAAAGUGUUUCGCCAUUAUAUUGGUUAGAAUAACAGGGACUAAGACAAGUCACCAUGACCUGAA
rnacentral:rRNA from 1 species